UUUAAGAUGGCAGAUUAUAUGCGCUAGAUUUAGAUUCUAGAAAUGAGUAUUUAUAUUCUCUUAAAA
rnacentral:tRNA from 1 species